AUCGUCAACAUAAAAUUAUUCACAUAAAAUCAUCAAAAUAAAACAUUUCUAGAACUCUGUACGACGAGCAUUCUAACAUCAGCUAUAGUAAUUUAUUUUACUAUCUAUUAAAUUUUUUUUAGAUGAAAAAUAAAUAGGUUUUUAAUAGGCACAUAAUGUGUAUUUAAGACACUCGUUCUAAGGCUAGUAGACGAUACUUCGCAUUCAGUCAUAGAACAAUGAAAACCUUACUCGUCACCUUCGUCAUUGCUUGCAUGCUCGCGGCCUUCGUGUUGGCUGCGCCUCAGCUUGGCGGAUUCGAAGGUCUCCCAGAAUACAGGUUGAGUGGAAACGCACCGAACCGAGUGACCAGAAUGCUAACUAAUCCUAGGGCUGCAGGCGGACGUGUGCCAGGUCUGUGGCGACCCUGUGGCAAUGAUAUCAAUUGCUAUCUUGAAACUCAGAACGAUGUCUAACAGCUACCACAGAAUAUAAUUUGAAAUUCCUAAAGUAGGCGUCCACAACCCCAUCCGAACAUACCUAUCUAUCGGCACAGAAAACAUAUGUACAAGAUCAGGCGCAUCGCAUCAAACAGAAUUUUUAACCGACUUCAAAUUGGAGGAAGAGCGUUCGAUGCGGAAAUGUGGUUGCCUGCCUUAGUGACCAAUAUUUUAAAUUAAAUUAUAUUUGUCAUGAUGCA